UUGUUACUUGCCUCUGCACAGGUAUGGGAAGAGAAGAAUGAACAAACAAUGGCAUGAACACCAACAUGCAGGCACAGAUGGAGGUCCAGAAGGUAACUCAAAGUAAAAAUGGAACACAAAGCACGGAAAUAACUGCUGAAAUAAUAGAUGUGAUGAAAUUAUGUUUUUAAAAAGAGAGUUGCUUCAGAGGACUUAUGACUUCGCUGCCUGUACAAAGAAGAGGACAAAGACAAGUCAAGAGGAAGGAAAACAUUUACAACUUAAUGAGAAGGUAAAUCAACUUACAUUUACUGCAAAUAGGUUGAUAGAAAAU